GUGGGGAAUCUUCCGCAAUGGACGAAAGUCUGACGGAGCAACGCCGCGUGAGUGAUGAAGGUCUUCGGAUUGUAAAGCUCUGUUAAUCGGGACGAAAGAGCCUAGUGUGAAUAAUGCUAGGAAGUGACGGUACUGGAAUAGAAAGCCACGGCUAACUACGUGCCAGCAGCCGCGGUAAUACGUAGGUGGCAAGCGUUGUCCGGAAUUAUUGGGCGUAAAGCGCGCGCAGGCGGAUCUGCCAGUCUGUCUUAAAAGUUCGGGGCUUAACCCCGUGAUGGGAUAGAAACUACAGAUCUAGAGUAUCGGAGAGGAAAGUGGAAUUCCUAGUGUAGCGGUGAAAUGCGUAGAUAUUAGGAAGAACACCAGUGGCGAAGGCGACUUUCUGGACGAAAACUGACGCUGAGGCGCGAAAGCCAGGGGAGCGAACGGGAUUAGAAACCCUGGUAGUCC
rnacentral:rRNA from 1 species